rnacentral:lncRNA from 1 species
GCUAUGUUGCCUAGGCUGGUUUCAAACUCCUAGCCUCAAACCACCCUCCCACCUCAGCCUCCCAAAGCACUGGGGUUACAGGUGUGAAUCACUGCUCCUGGCCCCAGUAUAUAUAUUUAGGCAUGCUUUUUAUUGAAUCUUUCCAAAGUAGUUCAUCUAAGUUUUCAUAGAAACAGUCACUCAUUCUUUUUGCACUGUUUCUUCAGUUGCUGUAUUGUUUAAUUAGAUUCCUCGAUUACAAUAAGUUUUAGGAGUAAACAUGACUAACUCUUGGGAAACACGUGGUACAUGCUGCUCCCAGCCCCUGGUGCUCAGAAUCCCCUGGGUAUAGGUCAGCCAGCUCUAGGGGGAGCAAGAAUGUCUCUCCCCAAGCCCUGCUGGUCAGGAGCAUCUCAACCCCAAGCAGAGAACCAUUUGGGGAGAUCUGUUGACUGGUAAAUAGCCCCUCACUCUCACUUGCAUAAAUCUGGAUCUUUACUGUGUGUGUGUUUUAAUUUUGCAAAACAGCUUUUAUGGAAGGGACCAGCAUGUCACCUCCUCACCGUUUACAUGGCUCUCUGACGACCUCCCAUCAGAGUGUAGAUCAUAGACAUAGACGCCGCCAGCUCUUAUCCUGGCUUCCCCAUUAAAUUGUGGUGUGGCCUCAGCUGAGUCACUUCACCUUGCCUCAGUUUAUUCAUCUCUUAAAUGGGAAUAUGAGCAUUACACUCCCACAAAUGACUGUGGUGAGUAUUGAUAAUAAAACAGGCCUCACCCAGGUGGAGCCUGGGCCCGAGGGCUGCCCACUCUAGGCUCCUCAGCAUCAGGAGGUCAUAGGCACCUCCAAUGGACCCCUGGAGAGCGUGAGGGUGCUGAUGAAAACAGGCUCCUCUUGUCAUUGCACUGCUCCCACGGGGCCUUCACCAGGAAUGAGCUUCAAGGUCAACCAAAGAGGAGAAAGAGUAGAGGGAACGAGGAAGAACAUUGAGGACUGUGAGGCAGAUCCAGGGACGAAUGAGGCACCAAAUGUGUCCUCCCCACUGACUGCCUUGGGUGGGGUUGUCCAGUUUCUGAAGGAUUCUCUGCAAGGCCUGGCCCCAGAGAGAGGCUUUCUGAAUACACUCAAAGAUGCUUUCACUGGAAAACAGUACUGCAGGCAGAGACGCAGCUAUCAUACGCGGUAUUGUCAGGAGCUGGAUUAUGUCUCCUCCAAUUCGGGUGUUGCAGCCCUAACCCCCAGGACUUCAGAAUGUAACUGUAUUUGAAGAUAAGGUCUUUGCAGAGAUGAUCAAGUUAAAAUCCUCAUGUCUGGUGGGAAGGAGGACUUGGGGAAAUGAAUGGUGACAUCUGGAUGAGGAAGUUUGUUCUGGGCAGAUGAGGGGGCCCUAGGCCCUGAGAAGACCCCAUCCAGGAGCUGGGAGCCCCCUUAGGAGGCUCAUAUGAGAGGGAGGAUCCAAGGUCCCGGCUUUACAGGGGCCACUUGGGGCAGAAAUAGCCCAAGCAACAUCAUUCCUCACCUGUCAAUGCUGGGGGAUAAAUGAAUAUUUAAGAGAACAUUUGUAGUAAUCUGCAAAGGACAGCUGUGAGGUGGGUAGUGACUGCCAGGGCAAGUAGGGGAUUUGGAGGCUGCUGAAUCAGAUUUGAUGAUGGAGCUCACAGGAUUGUUCCUACGAGGCAGUUUUUUUUCUGAUAAUUAUAAAUAUUCUCAUCCGUGGUAUAUUCUUUCUUAUCUCCCUCAGAUGUUUGAGGAUAACACAUAAAAAUGCAUGAUUUCAAACCACUGCUGCAUUUUUUUUUUUUUUUUUUUGAGACGAUGUCCUGCUCUGUUGCCCAGGCUGGAGUGCAGUGGCACAAUCUCAGCUCAUUGCAAUCUUCGCCUCCCAGGUUUAAGUGAUUCUCCUGCCUCAGCCUCCCAAGUAGCUGGGAUUACAGGUGCGCACCACCAUGCCCAGCUAAUUUUUCUGUUUUUAGUAGAGACGGGGUUUCGCCAUGUUGGCCAGGCUGGUCUCGAACUCCUGACCUCAGGUGAUCUGCCUGCCUUGGCCUCCCAACACUGCUACUUUUAAAAUCUUUUCUAUUUUCAAGCAGCAGCAGCUGCUGGCAGGUUUUUCUCCAAAUGACCUUUAUUUUGUCUCUAACAAAGUGGAUGGCUUUCUGGGAAAAUUCCUGAUGUGGGUGCGGGGGAACCAGUCGGGCAGGUCCCUUCUUCCUGCAGGGUCCUUGUUUCUCCUGGCAGUUUGUACUCCUUUGCCUGGGAACCAGGCAGUGGCCCCCCCUGGAUACCAGAGCUGAGCAAGCCCCCCGAUCCACUUUUCUUGGAAGCCCUGGGGCUUACCGCCUGAACUUGAUUUUAUCAGUAUUACGCUCGCAAAGCUGUUUUAUUGACCGACAACGUGGAAUGCAAUAAAUGUUCGAGACAUCUGCACCCAGCAAUCGUUUCCUCUGUAGGCAGGUUGCCAGGAAGGCCACGACCCGCUCAAGCUCCUCUUGUGACGAGGACGCCACCUGAAACAGUCGGGCUGCAGUCGCCGCUGUCCUCCGGCUCCCACUCUGCUGGGGUCUCCCUGCUGACCCGGCUUCCCCAGCGCCUCUGGUUCUUCCCAGCCCGAUCUCUCUCCACUGUCAUCCUCAGUGCCAGCCUGUCUCCCACGCCAGCUCGUAAACUCCAGGGUGGCGACUUUGUCUCAUUUUCUUUUGUGUUCUGAGCACCUGACCUGGGCAGCCCUGGAGGCAGCUGUGUGAGGGUGAGUCUGCUCACGUGCCUACCCUGUGAUGAGGUGUCCUGCUCACCUGUGGGGUCAUGCAGGGCCGCUGCUCCCCUAAUGGGAUCCCAUAAACAGUGCAGAGGUUGUCUCGGGGCUCUCGCAGCUGCUACGUGGCGCCUCCGCUGAGCGUCACCCAGAGGGCAGCAGCGAAGGAGGGGCCGAGCUCUCCACCUCCUGCUCCCUCUCCUCUCUCUCUAACUUUUCCUGCUGCCGUUCUCUUCCUGGGGCUGGGUCUGAAACCCUGGCAUCAUUAUCUCUGCAAACUCAUCUCUGUAAACGCCCUGGCAGGCAUUCUCCCUCCUCCCACCCACGGACCCCCGCUUAGUCCAGCUCUUACCUGGGUUCUCGCAGAAACUUCCUAACCGGUGUGUCCAGGAAGCACUUCAGAUGUUUUCUCUGCUGCUUCUGGUUAUCUUUUAAAUCAGAGAUAGGGAGAGUCAGGCCCCAUUUAAACGUCUCCUGGAGCCGAGUGGGAGGGCAGCUCUCCGGGGUUGCCUGGGCUGGUGGGGCUGGCUCCCUCCUGACUGCCCCGCUGUCUGCCAAGAGCAUUUUCCCCAUUUUUCCAGAGUCCAGGUGGUGGCCAUGACCCCCGAGCACGCCAGGCGUUAUCCCAGCUGAGCCUCCAGAGUCUCUGGGCUUUCUUCGUAGGUGCUGGGGCAGUCACUCUCAGCCACGACAGGGACACACUAGCCCCACCUCCCAGAAGAAAGCGCCUCUUUCCUCGCCUUUCUGGCCCCAGAGAAAUAUAACUUUCAAGAAAGAGUUUGUUCAUGACAGAGUGAGACAGAGUUAAGAGAGAAACUCAGGAUUCAAGGUGAAGAUGUCAGAUGUGCUCGGAUGUGGGAGGAAAGAUCCACCCUGGCCCUCGGUGGAGAGUUCUGACAGUGGUGGGUGCCACUGCGGCUAGGUCCUUUGCGCUGUGGCAGCACCAUCUCCCCCAACCUGCUGCAACUGGGGCUCAGCUGCCUUUUCCAGAGAUCGUGGGGGGUCGCCUCAACUGCGGGGUCACCUUUCCCAACCACUCUCAGCCAAUGACUGACAAAGGGGCUCUGGGCUGGGGCCUCUGGGCCGCCAUGAGGGACCGACUCUACAAUUGACACAUCAGGGCAGACAUUGCAGGAUGUGAAUCACUGCAGAGGGAGGAUGCCUGGCAGUGAGACUGUCUGUCCCAGGAGACAGGAAUCCUCACAUUUGCCAGACAAGGCCAAAUUGGGUGUGUGGGAUUUUCUAUAAAGUUUUAAAGAAAAAAAUUUUUUAUUCUGAAAUAAUCCUAAUUGUGGUAUUAAAAUGUCAUUUAUUUAUUUAUUUUGAGAUGGAGUCUCACUCUGUCGCCCAGGCUGGAGUGCAGUGGCACCAUCUCAUCUCACUGCAACCUCCGCCUCCCCAGGUUCAAGCAAUUCUCAUGCCUCAGCCUCCCAAAUAGCUGGGACUACAGGUGUACAGGUGCGUGUCAUCAGGCCUGGCUAAUUUUUGUAUUUUUAGUAGAGAUGGCAUUUUGCUAUGUUGCUUAGGCUGGUCUCAAACUCCUGACCUCAAGUGAUCCGCCUGCCUCAGCCUCCCAAAGUGCUAGGAUUAAAAGUGUGAGCCACUGCGCCCAGCCAAAAUGUCUUUUCUUUAAUCCAGUAAUGGUGAUUAAAAAUCCUUGCUUAACAAAAGAAAAAGUUGGUCACCUACCUCAGUCCUCGAAUGUGUUCUGAAACAUUCAUGGGCGUACCUCCUAGAGGCUGUGAGCCACGGCUCUGCAGGCAUCUCGCUCAGACCCCCUCUCUGGCUCCCCUGGCCCCCACUUUGGCAGCUCUUCCUGGGCUGUGAUUUUGUUUCUGCAGAGUGGCCACCAUUCUGCAGAAACGGUCAUACCCUCUGGGACCCUCUGCCUCACAGAGGCCCCCACGUUCCUGGGUCCUCCCUAAGGGGAGCCUUGUUUCUCCGAGGAGAUCUUGGGCUCACCGGUUAUGUUUCAGGGACCCACAGGACAGGAUUCCUGGCUCUGGUGUUUAGAAACACACUUGAGAGAGCCAGGUUGAAAGCUCUCCCUGGGUGCGUGACCACACUCAGGUGGUGAAGGUGGGGACGCCUGCAUGGGCGCUGGGGGGCUCAUGCACAGCUGGCCACCCUCAUCCCUGGUUUGUCAGCGCAGACCCCUGGGAAGCCUCCUCGCCUGCUGUGGUCUCUCUUCUAAGCAUCUUCGGUGGUGCAGUGGCUCAGGCUCUCACUGUGCUCAAGGUGCAGGCUGAACGUCACACUCAGGCUAAGGCCAAGCCCCCCACCUCCCCACACCACCCGCCCCUGUCUAGUGAGGACAUGCUACUCUAGAUAAGUCCCUACCAUCCUCCUCGUCCACCCGUGGCUGGCAGAAUCACAUCUCAGAACUAAAAUGUAGAGGUUGAUUUUCAGCAUAAAGAGCUUGUUUCCACACAUCUCAAGAUGAGGAAGUGACUUGUACUUGGAGAGAUAAAUGUUGACUUUUCAUGGAGAAAAUGGACAAGGUCCUCUCCUACUGGCCUGGCCCUAGGCUAGUUGAUCUCUUCGGUGAGAUCUGGGAUGUGGAGGACUGGGACGUGGGUCCUGCUCCCCUCUGCUCCAGGCACACAGCUGGCCAGAGGCUGGUGCUGCAGGAGCUGGCGUGGGCGCAGCCCCCAUGAGCCCUCACUGCCCUGGCCUGUCCCAGCCCUGCACGGUGGAGGCUGCCCUGCCCUGCAGGAACAUGUGGCUUCCCCUUGGCUGCUUCAGCUUGCUUGGUGCUGUGGUUUGAAUGUGUCCCCCAAUUUCAUAGGCUGGAAACUUACUCCCCAUAGUCACAUGUUGAUUGGAGGUGGGGCCUUUGGGAGGUAACUAGGAUUAGAUGAGGACAUCAGGAUGGGACCCGAUGGGGCAUGUGGCCUUAUGAGAAGAGGAAGGGAGACCUGAGCUGGUAUACGUGCUCUCUCACCACAGGACACCUUCCGUCAUGGGAUGAUGCUGCCGGAGGGCUCUCACCGGAUACGGCCCCUCGACUUUGGACUUCCCAACCUCCAGAACGGCGCAAAAUAAAUUUUUCUUUAUAAACGGCCCAGUCUGUGAUGUUCUGUUAUAGAAACACAAAACAGACUAAGACACUUAGUUCUCCCGAUGUCCCCUACAGCCUGUCUUCCUGCAGUCCCUGAGUGCUUGGCUUCCUUGGCCUUUGCAGGUCACUGGUGGGCUCCUUGUAGGGCCCAGCCUUUCCUGGUUUCCCCGCCCAGCAUCCACCUGUUGCCUGGAGCCAACCCCAUCUGCAGUUGGAUAGUGGUGGUGCCCCCACUUCAUGCUGGCUCCCAAAAGAGACUUACUUGCGUCUUAAAGCAAAACCGGUAUUAAAAUUCUGCCCUACUCUUGUUGUAUCUUAAGGGCUUACGUGAAACACUUUUUUUUGUUUUUGGAAUCACAUUGAAUGCAAAAUGGGCCCAGUUGGAGGGCACUAGCCAGGGCGGGAACUUGUGGGUACCAGGUUAAUUGGGGUUCUGGUUGUGGAGGGAGAGAAAAGGACCUGACUUUCAUCCCAACCACUUACCUGUGCAGGUGCCACCUGCCUGUCUGCUCAACCAACCGACCCAGAGCAUGAGCUGGUUAUUUGCACAAUGGAAGUGAGAGAGGGAAAAGGUGCUAGAGGCAGAAAUUGAUUCAUUCAUUGGCAAGGAGACCUUCAGCUUUGACAAUUUUCUCAAGGAGGCAAAGGAUGAAAGUGCUUAGCCCACAAGAAAAAUCAUCUGAUUAAGCCGGGGUUUAAAAUAAAGCGAGAACUUCACAGUAUCUCUCACAUCAAGUGACUAGUUCUCACACCUGUUUUUGGGAGAGCUGGUGAAAGGAGGAAGGAGAUGGUACCUUGAGGAAAGGCCACCUUCAGGAGAUUCUGAGCGGUCACUAAGUGUCCCCUGGCCCUGGAGCCGGCACCUACCUCCUGCCCACUUGGACAGUGCAGUGAGUCAGUGACGGCACAGGUGGAAUGAGACUAACUGUGGCCCCGCCCUGGCCGGCAGCCCUGUGUUGCAGAGCACGGCACAGCCAGCAGGUGCCUGGGAGCACAGUGGGGAGGAGGGGAGGAUGCCCACCUGUAGCUGUGACUGCUUUUCCUGGUGGUGGGGGAGGGAGAGUGUUCAUAUGGACCCAGGCCUGGGGCACUGGCCGUGUAUUUAUCCACAGAGGGACCAGGAGAUGCAGGAGCCCUCCUAGCCUCCCCCUGCACCGCCCUCACCACCCACCCCCAUGAGGAAGGGGCCGUCCCAGAAGAUGCUAAGAGGCUCAGCCCCUCCUCCAUGGAGUUUGGGAAGGUGACAGUGUUGAGGUAAACUCCAAGAGUCUCUGGGGUUGAACAGAAACCACCAGAAGAUGUUGGGCAGCUUAUGGGGGCUGUGUGGGUUCAUGGGCUCCAGGAUGCUCGGCCUCCCUUUCACUGUGGCGGUACUGGAGGCGCUGCUCACAUGGCCGGUUCAGGCAGCUUGGGUAGACGCCGCCAAGUGCAGGGGCAGGAACCUGCUAAUAAGAUGGGGGAGAGAUGAUGGUGAUGGGGGUGGGGCGUCUCAGCAGGACUCCAGCUCCCCUGAGGCUCCUACCCCUCCAGCUCCCCCACCUCCCAGAAGGAACCCGGUUCCCAAACUGGGAGAUGGUCCUGAUUACCACGGAGCCAUUAAGCAAGCUGUGGAGGAGAAGCCGUAGUGAAGACCCUCCCCACGCAUGCUGUGUUUGCUCAUAGGAGCAGGGGCAUGAAAGGUGUGUGCGGGGUGCGGGGGAGGGGUGGGAAUGGAGCAGGGUAGGGGGAAGGGAGCAGGGAGCGGGGGAAAGAGGUUCCUGAGAAAGGAAGGCGCCAGCGAAAAUGAGAAGGCCCACGUGGCAUAAACUUAGGGAAGAGAGGACAAUACCCUCUCUUGUCAUUGUAAAUCUGUAAAAAUGAACCUGCACACGGGCAGGAACAGGAGGCACAGGGGCCGACGCCAACACGGAUGGGGUUGGUGAUGACAUUGAGGGACCUCUAUCUUAGAGUCUGUUGUUCUUCAAUACAGGUUGUGUAACAACAAAAAAGAAAGCUGGCUCCAAGGGUGGAAAGAAAGCAGAGGAAGGAACGAGUGGGGACCCUGUUGGCAGCUCUCCCUGAGGAUGGGCCGGGAUGGGGGGUCCUGGGGUCUGGGAUUCUGACCCCAAUCUUUAGAGCAGUCCCUAAGCCCUUGCUUGCAGGGAGUGAAGCACCAGCAGGCAUGGCUGCCAGGGCAGCAGAGAGCCGACUCGGCUUCCUCGAUGGGCAGCUUGCCCCGAUGUCACGGCUGGCAUUCACCGUGGCCCAUGAAGGCGGUGGAGAGUGCUCCACAGGAGCAAUCUGCCGCCAAAGGGGACGUGACGCCUGCCAGGAAUGCCCAGCACACACCCAGUCUCGGGGCACCUGCACUCACAGCUGGGGGGCGUCACCUAUGUACCCUGAAUGUAGUAGAUCAUGUGGUGCCUGCACCAAGGCCAUGGCAUGAAAUUCAAUAAAAUUUCCCCAAAUUCAUUGUUCAGUCAUGACUCAUUUCCAAGGAAAGGAGUGAAAUCCACCCUUCUUCCUUUGUUCUUUCUUCCUCCUUUGAAAGUGUCCCCACGGAGAAGCCCCCACUCCUACAGUCUUGAGAAAGAGCCUCUCACACACUCACACCCAUUCCCACACACAGACACACUCACACCCAUUCCCCCCCACACAUACACACUCAUACCUAUUCCCACACACACACCCAUUCCCCCCACACACCCAUUCCCUCCCCCCCACACACAGACACACUCAGGCCCAUUCCCACACACAGACACACACACCCAUUCCCACACACACCCAUUCCCCCACAGACACACACACACUCUCACACCCAUUCCCACACACACAGACACACACACAUUCCCCCCACACAGACACACACACCCAUUCCCACACACACCCAUUCCCCCACAGACACACACUCUCACACCCAUUCCCACACACACACACACACAUUCCCCCCACACACAGACACACACACUCACACCCAUUCCCCCACACACACACUCACUCAUACCCAUCCCCACACACGGACACACACACCCAUUCCCCACACACAGACACACUCAUACACACACACACCCCCAUUCCCACACACAUUCCCCCACACACUCACACCCAUUCCCACACAGACACACUCAUACACACACACUCACACCCAUUCCCCACACAGACACUCAUUCCCCACACACUCACACCCAUUCCCACACUAGACACACUCAGACACACACACUCACACCCAUUCCCACACACACAGACACACACGCAUGCACACACGCAUACACACACACAUUCACAGUCACACACGUUAAGCCAUUUUAACUUUAGCGCCUCAGCUCUCAGUCCCCAAAUCACCUGCACACCCAGAGGCAGGGGCUACUCACAACCAAGCACCUUGGACAGAGGCAGGUAAACCCACUAAGCUGGAUUCCUGGAGAAGCAGGAAAAAGCGGAGCCGUUUCUUCUUGGACAUCCUAGAUGCUCAGAUAAAAGAGAUGGAAUCUCAUUGGAUGGAUUUGAGGAAACCCCCAAAGCUGCUUCUUGAAAACAUCAACCAGCGACCUGCCGUGUGCUGAGAUUCUACCUGGCUCUUUGUUUUCAGGAAGUCUUCCUGAGAGAGCGCACUGUUGGCGUUUUGCUGGGUAGAUAUCCCUUGGGGGUGGUGUCCUACCUACUGAAGGGUGAACAGCAACCUUGCUCAACCAUCACCCCAACAAAAUCCAGGAGCACCCUCAGUCACUGUGACCCCCAAAUGGCAUUUGUUGUAUCCCCCAAAUCCAAGUCUUAACCCCCAGGACCUCAGAAUGCGGCUGUAUUUGGAAACAGGGUCUUUCAAGAGGUAACUAAACUAAGAUGAGGGCUUUGGAGUGGGCCCUAAUCUAAUCUGACCGGUGUCUUUAGGAUGCAGUUUGGGUAUUUGUCCCUGCCCAGAUCUCAUGUGGAAAUGUGAUCCUCAGUGUUGGAGGUGGGGAUUGGAGGGAGGUGUUUGGAUCAUGGGGGUGGAUCCCUCAUGAAUGGCUGGGCUAGCCUCUUGGUGAUAAGUGAGCUCGAGCCCUGGGUUCACAGGAGUCCUGGUCUUUUAAACGUGUGUGACACAUCCCCCCUCCUCUUUCUCACUCCUGCUUCCCCUUGUGAUGAGCUGGCUUCCCCUUCUUCUUCCGCCAUGACUGGAAGUUUCCUGAGGCCUCCCCAGAGACAGAUGACGUCACGCUUCCCGUACAGCCUGCAGAUCCCUGAGCCAAUUAAAGCUCUUUUCUUUAUAAAUUACCCAGCCUCAGGGACUUCUUUAUAGCCAGGUGAGAACGGACUAACGGGCUUUACAAGAAGAAAAUGUUGGGAAGCAGACACUGACAGAGGGAUGACCACGUGAGGACACAGGGAGAGGAUGGCGUCUGCAGGCCACCGAGGGGCCUGAGGAGGAACCAGCCCUGCCCACGCCGUGAUCUCAGAUUUCCGGACCUCAGGACUGCGGGGAAGGGAGUUUCUGUUGUUCAAGCUGCUCGGUCCACGGUACUUUGUUAUAGAAGCCACAGCAGAGUUAUAUGCAUGUGUAUGCGUGCACACACACACUCACACACACGAACACUAACACAAACACACACGGACACACACUUUCUCACACACAGACACACAAUGACACACAGACACACUGACCCACAGGCACACACAGACACACACUCUGUCACACUGACACACACACACUGACACACUCUCACAUACGGACACACACUCGCACUCUCACACACACUGACACACACAGACACACUGACACGCGGGCACACACACACACAGACACACACUCACACCGACACACAGACUUACGUACACUGACACUCUCACGGACACACACUCUCGCACUCUCAGACACACACACUGAUACAGACACACGCUGACACACAGAGACACACACACUGACACACAUCCACACAGAGGCCCCACAUUUCUCAGCCUUUUGAGGUAGUACAUUUAAAUAGCAUUUAAAAUACCUAUUAAUUCAUUAAAACACUCAUAAACCUGUUAUCUGUCAGCGUAAAUACCUCAUGACAAAUAGCUGACUGGAAACCACUGACUGAAAACCACAGAGUCAGCUCACGGAAGAUGGCUGUUAAAAUGCAAAUGCACUUUGGGGAGGACAUGGUGGCGUGAGUGUCAGGAAGGAGUGACUUGGCCUGUGAGUCAGCGUCUAGAAGGCGUGCGUCUGGCCUCUGAAGUCGGAUGGGAGGGCCUGGGCUGCCUCCUGACUGCCACUUCCCUGCUGCGCGGCCUCCAGCCAGUGUCUCCACCUCCCUGCCCUUGGUCCGUAAAUGGGGGGUAAUAGGACCCACUGCACGCGUUAUAGGAGGGUCAAGUGGCUCCGUAUCUGCAAAGGGCUUAGGACAGCGCCUGGAAAGCACGCAGCGUCUGCCUUCCUCCCUCACUGGGAAGCUCGGGGGAUGGGCCACACGGACACAGGCUAUUGGCUGAGGGAGCAGGGAGGGGCUGAGACACGAUCUGGAGUCCGGGACUCAAACAUUGGGUCUAAAGAGCUAUGGAGGCCCCCACGGAGCAUGCGUUUAUGGGGGUUGAAUGCAGCCACGAUGCCACAUUAGAAAUCACCAAUGAGAAACACUAGAAAUCGAAACUAAGAGCAUUUAAAAUACCUAUUAAUUCAUUAAAACAAUCAUAAACCUGUCAUACGUCAACGUAAAUACCUUAUGACGAACAGCUAUAUUUUCCAAAACAAAAAGCAUUUAGGGGGAGGCAUGGCAUUGUCUUCGUGUCUGCAGAGCUCUCGAGUGUCUGACUCGGAAGAGCUGGGUUUUCCUGCCUGCUCCUGCAUUCCACCUGCUUGCAGAGCAUGGAGACAGUUCCGUGUGACACAGACAUGCAGCUAGCAAAGUGGGUCCCUCAGGGGGUCUCGGGGAUGCCAGGGUCCAGGGGCCUCCCUGAGACAGCUUCUGAUAUGGUCGGGAAGGUGCUCCGCAGAGCCAGGGCAGUGGGCGUGCUGGGGAGCCAGGCUGGGGGGCUGGGCACCCCCUCCCUCAUCCAGAGCAGCCCUAUUCCUAUCAGAUACAUGUCUUGGGCUCUGAGUCAAAUGCUGUGUGUACAAUAAAGUGGAUACACCUGCUCUGGGGCCUGGGGCUACACUGGAAAGGUGAGGCUUUGGGAUGGGAUGGUGGAGGGGAAACGCUAGGGCCCUGGGAGAUAAGGGCAAGAGGCCUCAGGUGUGCCCAGGUGGGAGAGCCAGGGCACCUGCAGUGCUGCUGGUCCAGUCCCAAAGCCAGCAGAGGCCCUGCUACCUCCACAUGCUGGACUCCAGGAAUUGCUCCUGGCAGCAGCAGGGAGCUCUGUGGAGCCAGGACACAGAGCCACAUGGUGCGAGGGGGGCUGCUGCCAGGAGUGGAGAGGCGGCGUGCACAUGGGUGACCUUGAGUGCACAGGUGCUGUGUGCCCACACAAGAGGUGGCUGGCCCACGGGGUGCUGCCCUCCCUCUGCCCCCCCAGCACACCUGGUCCACACACCUGCCCUGCUUCACCUGGUGCCACACCCUUGGGAGCACUGCUGAGGCCUAGAAGUCCUGGGCAUGUGUGUGGCCUCCCGAUAGGCAGGGCUCUGGCUCUCAUCUGGGAGCACUGCAGAAGCUGUUGUCUGGGAGCACGGGUGUCCAAGCCCAUGGAGAGCUGUCCCCCAUGGAGAGCUGUCCCCCAUGGAGAGCUGUCCCCCAGAGCCACCUCUUGCUGGAGGCAGAGCACCUGCAGCAGGAUGUGGGCCUCACAUCUCAGGGCCUCGGCCUCCCUCGUGCUUACCCCUCCCACAGGCUCCUCUGCCCUUGCUGUCCUCGCCUGGACCCUCCCCGAGAUCCCUGAGUGCCCAUCCCUUCACCAGGAGCCACUGGCCCAGUGUCUGUUUCCUGCCUCACUUUCCUUCCCAGGGUAUCCCCUGCUGCCCCGCAUGGGGCUUCUUUACCUGCUGUCCGUCCACCCCAAGGCAGGAGCUCCCUGAAAGCUGGAGCACCAACAGCUCGGUCCCUGCAGAGUCCCAGCACCCAGUGAAGCCACUGUGAGGAGGACUUGGGCCUCAGGAUGCACGUGCAGCCAUGGAGACCCCACGGGGCGGCCCCUCGGAUGAUCCUGGCCUUCUGGGUGGUCCCUGAGGGUUUGUUUCUUUCUGGGACUUUCUAACAGGAGGUCCUGCUCCUUGCCGCCGACUCAGCCCUGCCUGUAGCUUCCACAGUGCGUCAGAAGUCACCACUCACCUGAUGCUGGGAAUCCUCCUCCCAGGGCUC